UACGGAGGGGGUUAGCGUUGUUCGGAAUUACUGGGCGUAAAGCGUACGUAGGCGGAUUAGUCAGUCAGAGGUGAAAUCCCAGGGCUCAACCCUGGAACUGCCUUUGAUACUGCUAGUCUUGAGUUCGAGAGAGGUGAGUGGAAUUCCAAGUGUAGAGGUGAAAUUCGUAGAUAUUUGGAGGAACACCAGUUGGCGAAGGCGGCUCACUGGCUCGAUACUGACGCUGAGGAGCGAAAGCUAAGGGAGCGAA
rnacentral:rRNA from 1 species